rnacentral:rRNA from 1 species
CCUUACUGAAUGUGCCCAAUCUCAUCUGAUCUCAGAAGCUAAGCAGGGUCGGGCCUGGUUAGUACUUGGAUGGGAGAAGGGAAUACUUUUC